rnacentral:misc_RNA from 1 species
UACGUAGGGGGCGAGCGUUGUCCGGAAUUACUGGGCGUAAAGGGUGCGUAGGCGGCCAUGUAAGUCCUGUGUGAAAGGCCCCGGCUCAACCGGGGAGUGGCAUGGGAAACUGGAUGGCUUGAGUACCGGAGAGGGUUGCGGAAUUCCAGGUGUAGCGGUGAAAUGCGUAGAUAUCUGGAGGAACUCCAGUGGCGAAGGCGGCAACCUGGACGGUGACUGACGCUGAGGCACGACAGCUGGGGGAGCGAACAGG